CAGCCGCCGCGGUAAUACGUAGGGUGCAAGCGUUAAUCGGAAUUACUGGGCGUAAAGCGUGCGCAGGCGGUUUGUUAAGACAGAUGUGAAAUCCCCGGGCUCAACCUGGGAACUGCAUUUGUGACUGGCAAGCUAGAGUCUGGCAGAGGGGGGUGGAAUUCCGCGUGUAGCAGUGAAAUGCGUAGAUAUGCGGAGGAACACCGAUGGCGAAGGCGACCACCUGGGCUCAUACUGACACUGAGGUGCGAAAGCGUGGGGAGCAAACAGGAUUAGAUACCCCGGUAGUCCCUGUCUCUUAUAA
rnacentral:rRNA from 1 species